UACGGAGGGUGCAAGCAUUAAUCGGAAUUACUGGGCGUAAAGGGCGCGUAGGCGGUAUUGUAAGUCAUAGGUGAAAUUCCAAGGCUUAACCUUGGAGCGGCCUGUGAAACUACUAUUCUAGAGGUAAGGUGGAGAAAACGGAAUUCCCCAUGUAGCGGUGAAAUGCGUAGAUAUGGGGAGGAACACCGGUGGCGAAAGCGGUUUUCUAGCCUUUACCUGACGCUGAGGCGCGAAAGCGAGGGGAGCAAACAGG
rnacentral:rRNA from 1 species